CUGGAGGAUCCAGAAUCGAAGGAAACGAACGAGUUCGUGGAAGAGCAAGUUAAGCUCAGCGAUUCAGUGUUGAAGACGUGCGAGAUGAUAGAUAAGCUCAAGGAAAAGAUAACAAAGAUGAUGGAUUAUCCUCGCUACGUUGAUGCGCCGUUGAAAAGAGGGGACAGGUACUUCUAUUCAUACAACACCGGGCUUCAGCCCCAGGACGUUCUUUAUGUCCAAGAUGCGUUGGAAGGAAAGGGAGAGGUAUUGCUGGAUCCCAACCGACUAAGCGAUGACGGGACUGUAGCAAUGACCGAUUAUUCGGUAAGCGAGGAUGGCAAAUACUUGGCUUAUGAGCUUAGCAACAGUGGCAGCGAUUGGGUCACCAUCAACCUCCUCUCUGUUGACGACAAGACACUGCUCCAGGCUGACACUCUUUCAUGGGUGGGCACUCUGGUUUUUAACAGUUUUAUCAAUUCACUUCCCUCCUAUAAUUACUUAUUGAAACAAGGAUAUCUCUAUGUGUUGAUUGACAGGUAAAGUUUACCCAGAUCAAUUGGACACAUGAUAGCAAAGGCUUCUUCUACUGCCGUUUCCCUGCUCCCAAGUACCUACAUACCCACCACACUUUGCUCUACCUAGUGGUUUAUGAAAUGAAACUGAUAUCUCUGCGUUGUGUUUCACAGAGAUGGUGAAAAGUCGGAUGCAGGUACAGAAACCAAUAUUAAUCUCUAUAUGCAACUUUACUACCAUUUUGUUGGUACAGAUCAAUCCCAGGAUAUUUUGUGUUGGGGAGAUAAACAACAUCCUACCUACGUAGUCGGUGCCACUGUCACAGACGAUGGCAAGGUGCCUGCCUUCUCUUUUACAAUUGGAAUGUUUUGUUCUAUAUGCAAGUACUAUUAAUAAUUGAAGUGUGGAUAGCCGAAAUUAACAUUGUAUGAUACGGUUUGCAGUACCUUCUCCUCUACAUCACAGAUGGGGCUGAUACAACCAACAAAGUAUAUUACUGUGAUAUCUUGGGGGGACUAGAAAGUUUUAAGGGAGGAAACAGUUUGCUCACUUUCACUAAGCUUGUCGAUACCUUCGAGGCCAACUAUAACGCCAUUGCAAAUGAUGACACAUUGUUUACUUUCCUAACCAACAAAGAUGCUCCUUUAUACAAACUAGUUCGGGUUGAUUUGAACGAACCCAGUUCAUGGACUGAUGUUGUUCCGCAAUCUGACAAGGAUGUACUGGAAAAGGCAUAUGCGGUUAAUGGAGAUCGAUUGAUAGUUUGUUAUCUCAGCGAUGUUAAGAGUGUGUUACAGAUCAGAGACUUGGAGACAGGAUCAUAUCUGCAGCAGCUUCCCAUUGAAGUUGGUGCAGUGACUGCGAUAUCCACACGGAGAAAGGAAAGUUCAGCAUUUAUGGCCUUUACAAGCUUUCUUUUCCCUGGCAUCAUCUACCAAUGUGAUUUCGAAUCUGGCACUCCGGAACUGAAGAUAUAUAGGGAGAUGAGUGUACCUGGAUUCGAUCGUGCAGAGUUCCAAGUGAAUCAGGUCUGCUUUUCUUUUUCUGGAUAUUUGAUUUGAUUCCAAAUGAUGAUUCCUCUUUUUGGUUUAAGGUUUUUGUGACUAGUAAGGACGGGACCAAGUUCCCGAUGUUCAUCGGGUCAAAGAAAGACAUAAAACUGGAUGGAUCACACCCAUGCUUGCUGUAUGGAUACGGUGGAUUUAGGUACAACAAUACUCCAAAUUUCACUGCAAAUCGGAUAACACUGGGGAAGCAUUUAGGAGUAGUUUUCUGCAUUGCCAACAUACGUGGUGGUGGAGAGUACGGUGAAGAAUGGCACAAAGCAGGAUCACUUGCCAGCAAGCAGAACGUCUUUGACGACUUCAUCUCUGCCGCUGAAUACCUCGUAUCAGCUGGUUACACCACCCAGAAAAGGCUAUGCAUCGAAGGUCAUAGCAACGGAGGCCUCCUCGUAGGUGCUUGCAUAAAUCAGAGACCAGAUCUAUUCGGAUGCGCUCUGGCUCAUGUUGGUGUUAUGGACAUGCUCCGAUUCCACUUGUUCACUAUAGGUAGUAAACAUACAGGUUUCAGAUUCUUCCAAGUUGCUUCUAACCACCGUAAUCAUUCUCAAACUGAAAUUCUUGUUUCUCUAGGCCAUGCUUGGAUUUCUGAAUAUGGCUGUUCAGAAAACGAGCAACAGUUCAAUUGGCUGAUCAAGUAAGACAUGAUAUUACUUAAUAAAAAAAACGAAAAUACAAUGGUGUUCAAUUUAUCACACAUUACCUGCGAGUUCGUUCUGUGACAAUUUGAUCAGGUACUCUCCACUACACAAUGUGAGGAGACCUUGGGAAAUGAACACUGAUGAGGCAAUUCAGUACCCUCCCACCAUGUUGCUGACUGCCGAUCACGACGAUCGAGUUGUUCCAUUACACUCUCUGAAGUUGUUGGCGGUGACUGAUAGACUUUUCCCUCCAAUUCUCUCGACUGGAGACAUAACCGUAUCAUGGUUUCUUGACUUUUCUUAUUUUAUGCAGACGUUGCAGAGUGUUCUGAUCACCAGCUUGGAGAAGAGUCCCCAAACCAACCCAAUAAUGGGCCGGAUUGAUCAGAAAUCAGGCCACGGGUAUGGCCGUCCCACUCAGAAAGAGGUAAGCUUUUUUACACUUAUUGAAUUGAUUUCUUCUCUACUUAUCUGUGGGCUAUUAAUUCAACUGUGUGUUUGACAGAUUGAUAUAGCUGCCGACUGUUAUGGGUUCAUGGCGAAGAUGAUGAAUUUGGAGUGGACUGACUAGGAAACACAAAACAGCAUCCAGUUGAAUCCAUUAGUACUGUUGUACAAUGGUUUAUAGUAUGAGGAUAUGAUAAUAAGAAGCUGUUACAAGGUCUUGUAAGAUGGAAUAAACAGUGUAAUUCUGCAAUUUGUUCUAAUCAUGUGUAAUUUGUGUACGAGGAAAUUAAAAAAAUGAGACUUUGCUGAAAAUCACAACCUGAAAUCAAAAUCGAGCUUCUGUACCGAAGAAUUCGGAUUUGCUGGAUCCGGAUUACCUUUUCGGAGUCUAUAUAUAAAUCUUCCGAUUAGGGUUUCUUUCUUUGUAUUAUUAUAAAGCAUAACCUAAAUGGAGAUGUUACCGGAUGAGCUACUCACAGAGAUAUUAGGGUGGAUGCCGCUGGAGGAAGCCGCAAUAACCAGCCUUGUUUCGAAGCGAUACGCCUGGAGAAACCCACCAAAUCCUUACUUCGACGGUAACAAGAUAACCAAAUUCAGGAACGAUGACUAUCUGGUCUCAUACUUCCAAACCCUCCAGGAUUUCUACACGUAGAUGGACGAGAUGAUCCGCCAGCUGGAACAGAAGAACAAGGAGACUGAUUUCUGGAUUGAAUCAUUAGGUCUCAAUUUCAAGCCAGAUGAGGAAUAUGAAGAGGAAGAUGAAGAAGACAAUUAUGGAUGGAUUGAAUUUAGGAAUUCAGACGACUCUCUAAUAAUCGGCGGAUUCAGAAUUGUGCGUCUCUUGUCUUUGUCGACAGAUCCUGGAAUCAAUCUGAGCGCCGUGCUAUCUCGGCGUCGGCGGCCGUAUCUGCUGAAAAACCUGACAUUUGCCAACUGUGAUAUGGAAAUCCUGAAGAGUGAACUACUAAUAGGCAACAAACAGCAUGCCAAACCACAAGAAAUCAAAUCACCAAAUGUAGUUACAAUUGAAUGGUACUUAUUUUUGCAGUACUAAGUAGGAACUUGUACUGUUGACGCCUCUCUCCAAAGCAUGCAUGACAUCUCCAUUCUUCAGUCAAUCAUCGGGCGAAGCUUUUUCUUUAUAGCCGUAAGUUUGUAUAAAACUUCAUUCAUACUAACCCUCUCUUUUGGGAUGUCUAGAACAAAUAAUGUCAAUGUUAAGAAUGGAACUCAUUAACUCCUCUAGUUUCUUUCUCGCUUUUUCCGAGCGGUUACUUGCUUGUCAGCCUACGAAGUCGUUCGUUUAGUAGAACCGGAUUCACAACUUGAAAUGUUUGUUGUUCCGACAAAGCGCUUAUGACAACGUUAUGAAAGUUUAAACUGUCUUUGAAAGUCUCAUCAACUGGCCUCUUCUCGAUAAAUAAUUCAAGUAGAAGUAUACCGUAACUGUAGACGUCACCUUGUAUUGAGACUUCGUUUCCCAUUUCAUAUUCUGUAAAAGGAGACAAUUAUUUAAAAAUAAAAGUAGCAAUCGGAAGGUAAAGAAUAAUCAAAGUAUGCCUGAAUAAAUUUUUUAUCUGGUGGUGCGUAGCCAACUUUUCCUUUUAUAUCAAUUGUACUUGAAGAGGGACUUUCAAUUGUUGAAAGGAAUUUUUCCAAUCCAAAAUCACCAAUAUGAGUCACUCUAUCCUCGUCAAGAAGUACAUUACUAGAUUUGAGAUCACAAUGAAUAACUGGAGUUCCGCAGUUGUUAUAAAGAUGAUUCACAGCGGAAGCUAUAUCAAUAGCAACAUUUAUCCUCUCGAUGAAUUUCAAGCUCCUUGUUGCAGACUCGUCUAUUCUUCCAAUUGGAUGAUGGAUACAGUCUAAAGCUUCCAUAAGCCAAUAAUUCAUAAAUAAGAGCCUUGAAAUAAUUCCCUUCAUGAUCAAUGCUUGAAUAUACUGUCGCUAUCCUCAUAAGAUUCUUGUGUCGAAUGUUCUUCAACACUUUAUAUUAAUCCAUAAAACUUGUAGAAGCUCCGUGACGCUGAAGGUUGAAUACUUUCACAUCAAUGUUGAUACGACAUUCAAAUAUCUCAUCAAGGACACCUUUAUACACUAUGCUAAAGAUACCUAUACCAAUCUGAAUUGUUGAGGAGAAACCAUUUGUAGCUUUAUAAAGCCUUUGAUAAGACAAUUAUAGUAAUUUUGGAUCAUUCAUUGAAACUAUAUCUUGUCUUCUUAUUUUCUUAACCAACGAGAUAAAAAAGACAUAAGCAGUGAAGGCGAGAAACAGUAGACUUGAAACUGUUCAUAUAAUAAUCUUCCACUUGAGACUCAAUGGCUUCUUUGAGUGUAGAGUGAAGUUACAUGGUGGGAAUUUAAGUGCAACAAUUCCCCCUGCAAAACUGUCCAUUUCCAAUGAUUGAAAUAAUGCUACUUCAAGACUCUUUGUGUUGGCACUUCACCUUCAAAAUUGUUAUGCGAGAGAUUCAAAAGGCUCAAUAUAUUUAUAAGCUCCAAAAAUUUUGGAAUUUGACCAGAUAAAUUAUUUAAAGAAAGAUUCAAUUUUUGAAUACUUCUUAAUAAGCUCAAAAAAGAAGGAAUGAUACCUCGUAGGUGAUUCCCUUGCAAGUAUAAAAUUUCUAGGCUCAUACAAUUGCCCAAACCAUUUUGGAUGUUGCGUGACAACAUAUUAUGUGCUAGACUCAAAAUACCCAAAAUUUUCAAGUUCUCCACCUCUAUAGGAAGGGCACAUGUGAAUCGGCUGUUAGAUAAGUCUAGAGCAAUUGACAAGGAAGUAAGGCUCACCAUUUGUGGUGGGAUGACGCCUCUGAGAUUGUUGCUAGACAGGUUCAAAAGUAAUAAUUUUUUAUAAUUGAGAAGAGAAGGAGAAAUUUCACCAUAAAAAUAGUUAUUGCUAAUAUCUAGUUCAAGCAAUUCUGGGUUUGCUAAUAUUUAGUUCAAGCAAUUUUAGUUGUACUAUGAAUAAUGCUUGAGUGGCGGGUAUAAAAGAAAGAGUCUUAUGCUUAUUAUGGAGCAGCACCUAUGAUUCCACGGUAACUUCUGCAGAUCAGUCGAGUCUUAGGUCCAGUCCCGCCCAUCGUGAAACCAAACCUCGGAAUCGGUCCCAAAGGGAAAGAAUUGUUCUUAUUCGGACAGAUUGCCGAACUUUCAAACAUGUUUAAGCCGGAGUUCAAGUUCAGGCAACGGAUCCUCGACAGAAAUUUUACGGAGAAGCAUUUCGUGGGAGGAAAAGCAAAAGGGAAAACUGGAAAAACAAAACGUGCAACUCAAGGGCAAGAUGAUCGUCAGAGGGAAAGAGAAAAAGAUAAAAACCAAGUUAAAUUGGGAGGACAGGGAAGGAGGCGAUCGUGCAAAGAAGGCAAGGGGCAGCUGCUACAAAAGGGGAAGUGACAUGGAAGAUUGAAGAACUAAAAGUUAGAAGAGAAAUAGAAAAAAUAAAACUGCUGCCUUUAACCAAAUCAAAUAGGCUUGGAAUCCAACCAAACACAUCAAAAGCAGACUUGAAAUCCAACCAAUAAAAACCCCUUAAUGAAUAGUAUAUUAUGACUGGGCUUUAUUUAGUUUUAAUUUUAAUUAAUAAUAAUAGCCUAAUAGGUGUGCAUGGCAUGGGUUACUUUGCAUGGGUUGUAAAUUUUACAUAUUUUCAAUUCCACGUGCAAUCCCUUUUUUAAAAAACAAAUCGCAUUUUAUUCCUUUCGAAUUAAGUCAUUACAAUGGAAGAAAUUUACUUCAAAUUCUGAGUACAAUUAGGAGGAAGCGUACUAGACGGGCAAGAUUUUGCAACCUAAUCCGCCAGGUGGUCGAGUCUCUUAGGGACAAAAGAAAAAAUAAUACUAGAGCCGGAUUGAAAGAUAAUAUCUCUAAUUAUUCGGAAAAUUUACGAGUAGCAUUAACAAAGCCACGAAAUGAGUCGACCACAUAUAACUUGAAUCAUCAUCAAACAGUCUAAUUUGAUGAUGGGGCGAAAACUAGAAUCUAUGGCAAAUUCCACAACCAAAAGAAAUUUCUUUCGCUUCAACCAGGAUUGAAGAUCAACACUGAAAACGGUAUGCAAUACCAUCCCCGCCUUCCCACGAGAGUUUUAAUAUAAUGAUGACCUCAUAAGCCCCCAAAUCAUUUACUAUCAUUAAUCUUUUAUGAGGAUUUGGAACUCUAUAUAUUUGACCAAUAGGGCUCAUCCAAUUUUAAUUAAGCUGCUUUUUUUAUCGAUUAGGUUUUAAUAUAUGUAGACACGUUUUAAUAUGAAAUAAAUCAAUAAUGAAUUUAGAUGAUCUACAAUAGAAAUUACGAAAAAUAAAUAAUUGCGUAGCCUCCGCAGCGUGGUGCAACCAUGAAGCCCAUAAUGUGGGUUGUGCCGUGCAAUGUAGAGUUUGAAAAAUCCAGCCUUCGUUAAACCACUGAUGGAGUUAGCUUGGUCUGAAGAGUCAGGUGCCACCGUCUGGGUUGCGUAAUUGAAUUAUGUAUUCGGGAUUUUCCACUGUUCUUCUUUUUACCUUUCAGAAGAAAACUACACCAGGAUUGACGUCUACAAUAGUUUGGUUGAGUGGUGGGUUAAAGGACAAAUAAAAUCAUGGUAAAUUGUCAUCAUUCUAACUAGGUAUCCAGUUGUAAGAACGUUCAAAACUCGAAUACGAAUCAAUUAUAAACAACACUUUCUAACAAACUAACACAAGUAGACAAGUUAAAUUGUCUAGUGUUUGGGAUAAGUCAUCACUGACUAACCUUUGUUCCUUUUUAACCGCCAAUUAGUUCCACUUCACUAGCUACCCCACUCUUCCUUGUAUAUAAUCCAUCUUCACUAAUCAUUCAUUUGUAACCAAAUCAUCAACUAGAUAUCAUAAACUCCACAGCUCCUCAAUCUCAUCCAUCCAGAAUGGGGUCGGUAGCAUUAUGUUAUCCAGCAGCUCGCAAGGAUGAGUCUACCGUCGAGUAUUACCAUGGCGUCAGGUUGCUGACCCCUUUAGAUGGUAACCAAACCAGCAUAUGGAUGCAUAUGGUUUUCUUUGUUAGUUUUUUUUUUCAAAAAUUACAUGGAGUAUUGAGCAUUUGUGAAAUGGCAGGCUGGAGAAUCCAGAAUCGAAGGAAACGAAAGAGUACGUGGAAGAGCAAGUGAAGCUGAGUGAUACAGUGUUGAAGACUUGCGAGACGAAAGAUAAGCUCAAGGAGAAGAUAACAAAGAUGAUGGACUAUCCUCGCUACCUUGAUGCGCCGUUGAAAAGAGGGGACAAGUACUUCUAUUCAUACAACACCAGCGUUCAGCCCCAGGGCGUUCUUUACGUACAGGAUGGGUUGGAAGGAAAGGGAGAGGUGUUGUUGGAUCCGAAUGCACUAAGCGAUGACGGGACAGUGGCAAUGCCCAUUUAUUCGGUAAGCGAUGAUGGCAAAUACCUGGCGUACGAGCUCAGCUCCAGUGGCAGCGAUUGGGUCACCAUCAACCUCCUCUCUGUUGACGACAAGACACUGCUCCAGGCUGACACUCUUUCAUGGGUAUAUAUGCAUUCUCUUCUAUUCUACCUGUAAUUUCAAAACAAGGAUAUAGCUUUUAAUUAAUUUUGGCGAGCGUUGACAGGCAAAGUGGACCGAAAUCAGUUGGACACAUGAUAGCAAAGGCUUCUUCUAUUGCCGCUACCCUGCUCCCAAGUACGGGUUAUGGGCAGCUGCUACAAAAGGGGAAGUGACAUGGAAGAUUGAAGAACUAAAAGUUAGAAGAGAAAUAGAAAAAAUAAAACUGCUGCCUUUAACCAAAUCAAAUAGGCUUGGAAUCCAACCAAACACAUCAAAAGCAGACUUGAAAUCCAACCAAUAAAAACCCCUUAAUGAAUAGUAUAUUAUGACUGGGCUUUAUUUAGUUUUAAUUUUAAUUAAUAAUAAUANNNNNNNNNNNNNNNNNNNNNNNNNNNNNNNNNNNNNNNNNNNNNNNNNNNNNNNNNNNCUAGGGGACUAGAAAGCUUCAGGGAAGAAGGGAACAGUUUGCUCCCCUUCUCUAAGCUCGUCGACACUUUCGAGGCCUACUAUGCCGCCGUUGCAAACGAUGGCACAUUAUUUACUUUCCUGACCAACAAAGACGCUCCUUUGUAUAAACUAGUUCGGGUUGAUUUGAACAAACCCGGCUCAUGGACCGAUGUUGUUCCACAAUCCGACAAGGAUGUAUUGGAAAAUGCAUAUGCGGUUAAUGGAGAUCGAUUGAUAGUUCAUUACCUCAGCGACGUUAAGAGUGUGUUGCAGAUCAGAGACUUGCAGACAGGAUCGUAUCUGCAGCAGCUUCCCAUUGAAGUUGGCGCAGUGACUCUGGUAUCUGCAAGGAGGAAGGACAGUUCAGCAUUUAUUGCCUUUGCAGGCUUUCUUUUCCCUGGCAUCAUCUACCAAUGCGAUUUCGAAUCUGGCACUCCAGAAUUGAAGAUAUAUAGGGAGAUGAGUGUACCUGGAUUCGAUAUUUCAGAGUUCCAAGUGAAUCAGGUAUGCUCUUCUUUUGCAGCUGGAUAUUUGAUUUUGAUUCCAAAUGAUGAUUCUUUUCCAUGGUUGAAGGUGUUUGUAACUAGUAAGGACAGGACCAAGUUCCCGAUGUUCAUAGGGUCUAAGAAAGACAUAAAAUUGGACGGAUCACACCCAUGUUUGUUGUAUGCAUAUGGCGGAUUUGGGAUCAAUAUUACUCCAGAUUUCAAAGCAGCUCGGAUAGCACUAGCGAAGCAUUUAGGAACAGUGUUCUGCAUUGCCAACAUACGUGGUGGUGGAGAGUACGGUGAAAAAUGGCACAAAGCAGGAUCACUUGCCAACAAGCAGAACGUCUUUGACGACUUUAUCUCUGCCGCUGAAUAC
rnacentral:lncRNA from 1 species